AGGGGGCAAGCGUUAUCCGGACUUACUGGGUGUAAAGGGAGAGUAGGCGGCAUGGUAAGUUAGAUGUGAAAGCCUCGGGCUUAACCUGAGGAUUGCAUUUAAAACUAUCAAGCUAGAGUACAGGAGAGGAAAGCGGAAUUCCUAGUGUAGCGGUGAAAUGCGUAGAUAUUAGGAAGAACACCAGUGGCGAAGGCGGCUUUCUGGACUGAAACUGACGCUGAGGCUCGAAAGCGUGGGGAGCGA
rnacentral:rRNA from 1 species